rnacentral:rRNA from 1 species
GACGAGGGGUCCUAGCGUUGUUCGGAAUCACUGGGCGUAAAGCGUUCGUAGGCGGCUCUAUAAGUCGGGUGUGAAAUCCCACGGCUCAACCGUGGAAGUGCAUUCGAAACUGCAGAGCUUGAAUAUGGAAGAGGGUAGUAGAAUUCCUGGUGUAGUGGUGAAAUACGUAGAUAUCAGGAGGAAUACCGGUGGCGAAGGCGGCUACCUGGUCCAAUAUUGACGCUGAGGAACGAAAGUGCGGGGAUCAAACAGG